rnacentral:rRNA from 1 species
UGGGGAAUAUUGCACAAUGGGGGAAACCCUGAUGCAGCGACGCCGCGUGAGCGAAGAAGGCUUUCGAGUCGUAAAGCUCUGUCCUAUGAGAAGAUAAUGACGGUAUCAUAGGAGGAAGCCCUGGCUAAAUACGUGCCAGCAGCCGCGGUAAUACGUAUGGGGCGAGCGUUGUCCGGAAUUAUUGGGCGUAAAGGGUACGUAGGCGGUUUUUUAAGUCAGGUGUCAAAGCGUGGAGCUUAACUCCAUUAAGCACUUGAAACUGAAAGACUUGAGUGAAGGAGAGGAAAGUGGAAUUCCUAGUGUAGCAGUGAAAUGCGUAGAUAUUAGGAGGAAUACCGGUGGCGAAGGCGACUUUCUGGACUUUUACUGACGCUCAGGUACGAAAGCGUGGGGAGCAAACAGG